UUUCUAUGAUUGAACGUCCAAACACCAGGCUGCGGAAAUAAUACGCUAGGGGACAACUGUUGAUCACUUAAUGCUCACACUGUUUGCAGAAGAGUUAAUUUGCACUGCGGAGCCAAACUAUUGCAUAACAAGCACCCGUCUCAGAUGACUCCUAUGAGGUGACUUUGCAAGGAUCUCCCUCCCUGACUUCUCGGAGCAACCCCUCCCACCAACACCAUGCUAUGCACCCUGCACCUGAGAGCUCUGCAGGUUUUAACUUACUUGCAGAAAACCAGGUCACAUGGUGCCACCUUGGAAACACAGUGUAAGAUGGUGUGAAUGAAUGAAGUAGUUUGUGUUUCUGUUUAUCUGCAUGUUAGUAAAGUCAGAGCCACAGCAUAGGUGUCUUGAAUGCAGGUCAUUGUACUUUCCAGGAAUCGCAGUCAACAUUCUCUGAACACCGUGAAGUUUCAUGUUCCAGGGGGUGUUGUUUUUGUACAAGUUCAACGUUGCAUUCUUUAUUACGCUGUGUAUGUGGCUUUGGAUUUAGUUGUAGGUUUUAUGGAGGUUUAAAAAAUAAGCAUGUGUGGAAAUGGACUGUAGUUCUAUGUUCAACUUCAUUGUACAUAUUUUAAAUGUUAUAACAUAAAUUCACAACUGACCUGUUUGAACUGAAAAAGUCUGGAUUCAUAGUCUCUAUUUGUAUGUUUUAAUGUAUAAAAAUGUUUACUUUGAUAGUGCUAUACAUUGAGACAUCUGUAUAGUUGGAACCCUGAAACCAAGUUUAUUUACAUUGUCACAGCUUCAUAGAACAAGCAAUAUGAAAAUGUGCGCUUGAUGAAAUAAUAAGAAAUUUUGAUGUUUCUCAGGCUUCAUUUUGUGCAACUGUCAUGCUUGCUGUGCUAUUUUCAGCUGUUUUUAAUUGACAAGAAUACAAAACA